UUUUGCUAGUUGUGAUAAUAGGACAAAAGAAAGGCUAAACACUGAAUUUCGAACGAGCAACUAUGUUAAAAAUCUUGGUGUGUGACAACUUGAUCAAUUUAAUUGGUGAACCGAUGCAUAUGCACACAAUAUAUACUCACUAAUAUAAUUAUUCACCGUAACAAUAAUACUCUGAAUUAGAUAGUGAUUCAGUUUGAGGGCACCUGGUGAACAGAUCAUUGAUGCCCUCACCCAGGCCUCGACCACCGGCUGCUUCUAGUUGUGCCUUCCGAUUUGCAACCUGCUGAGCUUUGAGUGGCCAACAGAAUUGAAAUCAAUUCUUCAUGUGGGUUGUGUCUCCGGUCAGAAAACGAAUCGAUCAAAUAUGACAACGAUGCUAUCAUCCGCCUUGGCGCGGCGGCGCCGCUUCCGUCAGUUCAUCUCCGUGAGGAGUUAUGCUUUUUGAGGACACCCUGCAGAGAUAGAUCCAUCGAUAGGUUGCUGUAUCGAGCAGUUUGGGAGAUUAUGAUC
rnacentral:lncRNA from 1 species